UACGUAGGGUGCAAGCGUUGCCCGGAUUUAUUGGGCGUAAAGAGCGCGCAGGCGGUCGAUCAAGUCGGAUGUGAAAGCCCCCGGCUCAACUGGGGAGGGUCAUUCGAUACUGGUCGACUCGAAGGCAGGAGAGGGAAGCGGAAUUCCCGGUGUAGUGGUGAAAUGCGUAGAUAUCGGGAGGAACACCAGUGGCGAAGGCGGCUUCCUGGCCUGUUCUUGACGCUGAGGCGCGAAAGCUAGGGGAGC
rnacentral:rRNA from 1 species